rnacentral:rRNA from 1 species
UAAUACUAGCGGUCCAAGUCGCAGCCAUUUUUAUUGGGUCUAAAACAUCCGUAGCUUGUUUAGUAAGUUUCUUGUGAAAUCUUAUAUCUUAAAUAUAAGGCGUGCAAGAAGUACUACUAAGCUAGAGACUGGGAGACGUAAGGAGUACGGUUAAAGUAACGGUAAAAUGUGUUAAUCUUAAUCGGACUAACAAUAGCGAAGGCACCUUACGAGAACAGUUCUGACAGUAAGGGAUGAAGGCUAGGGGCGCAAAACGGAUUAGAUACCCGUGUAGUCCUAGCAGUAAACACUGCACACUAAACAUCGGUACCUCUUCGGGAGGCAUCGGUGCUGUAGGGAAGCCGUAGAGUGUGCUACCUGGGAAGUAUAGUCGCAAGGCCG